AACAGGUUCGCGUGCGCCCCGGCACGUGGCCCGGCAGAGCCGGCCGACCAGCCAGCGCCGUGCGCCACGGCACGCGCCGGCGCGCGCGCGGCUGCCGAUCCGGUGCGCGCGGCGGCGCACGCGGGCGCGCCAAAAAAGUGGCCUGGUCCUGGGUCGUUUUAUGUCCACGCGUUGCAUUUGUGGGGAUCCGGCUUCGGGUAGGUGUGGGAAGGAUAGAACCGUCGAGCUCCGCCGGCGCGCCCGGCGUCCUGUUGCCUCUCGCGAGCCCCGCCGGGCGCUGCGGCGGGCGGCACGUGCCUUUAGGGGUCGCCCGGUGGCCCCGUCGGCGUGCGCACGUGCGCACGUGCGCCGCGGCACGUGCCGGCGCGCUUGGCGGCCGAGCCGGUGCGCGCGGCGGCGCACGCGGGCGUGCCCAAAAGUGGCCUGGUCCUGGGUCGUUUUAUGUCCACGCGUUGCAUUUGUGGGGAUCCGGCUUCGGGUUGGUGUGGGAAGGAUAGAACCGUCGGCCCGCCGGCGCGCCCGGCGUCCUGUUGCCUUCGCGAGCCCCGCCGGGCGCUGUGGCGGGCGGCACGUGCCUUUAGGGUCGCCCGGUGGCCCCGUGGGCGUGCCCAAAAGUGGCCUGGUCCUGGGUCGUUUUAUGUCCACGCGUUGCAUUUGUGGGGAUCCAGCUCUGGGUACCUGUGGGAACCGGGAAACCCUCGAGACGCUCGUAGUUCCGCGCACGGCGUCCCGCCGCGUCCCCGGCCGUCCGCUGACCCCCGUCCGGCGUCGACGGGCCCCUCGGGGCCUCCGACGCACGGUCGCGCGCGGGCGCGGCGCCGGGUCGCCUCGGGCACGUGACGGCGCGUGAGUAGUGGUCUGCGCGUUGCGCCUGCGGCCUCCCUGCCCGAGUGCAGCCGACCGCGGGCGCGGGUCGCGUCUCGUUCGUCCCCGGAUGCCGGAGGGCUCGCCCUCGUGGUCUGUACCGCCUAGCCGGAAUGCGGCAACCUCGGAACCCCGACGACUGGGCGCCGGCUCUCCCUCCCCAGCGGGCGGGCGAGAGGCCGGUCGCGGCCCCGUGCGUCCCCGACUCGCCCAGCGCGUGUCGGAGGGCCCUCGAGGCGCCGCGUGCUCUGCGGAUGUGGUGGAAUCGGUCGGGCGCGGGGGCCUCAGGCGCCCCCGACCCGAGACGCGCGCGGCGGGCGGACGGGGAGACCACCGCGGGGCGCGGGAGGUGCGUCGUGUGGCGCGGGUGGGGCGUCUCGGCGCCCUCCUCCGCUCCCCACCGACGCCACCCCCGCCCCACCCCUCGGGUCGGUCGUCUCGUCCUCGACCUGCCGCGCGCGCGCCGUUCGAACGACCGCCGGCGUGCGGACCCUCGCAACCCGCCGAGCGCGAGCGCGGUGGGGUGGUCGGGGCCGCGCGCGGGCGUCGCCGGAGGACGUGCUACCUGGUUGAUCCUGCCAGUAGUCAUAUGCUUGU